UGUUUUGUUUUGCGGAAAUGGAGGAGUUGGAGAAGGAGCAUAAGAAAGACUCCGAGUGCGACGUGGAGAUGGAAGAAGGCUCCCAGGCCGCAGACUGGGACAGCGAUGAAACGGUGGUAGAGGGGUCCGUGACGGAGAGCGACCCCGAGGAAGAGGCGCUGCCCUGGAGAAGGUUGCUUUUUAAUCAAGACACGUCUCUUAGAUCUGAGUUCAGUCUCCAUCCCAGUAAAGAUCCAACACAGGAUAUAUGCAAUCUUUGCCAAACUGGUGCAUCUUCUCCAGAGAUUCAGGUUAGAUUCAGAUUCAGAGAGGAUCCACAGGAGCAAAUGAGUAUAAAUCAAACGAUGCUUAUUCUUAUUGAGGAUACAGUCUUACAGCAACCUCAGAAUGAAAUGGAACAAAAUGGAGCUUUGUUACAAAAAAGUCAUCCAGUGUUCACGGUAUCAUUUCCCCAGGCUGAACUUUCACUGAACCACCGAAGUAGUCUAGGACCUGAGGCUGAAAAUCCUGAGCUGUUAACACACCCAGAAAAGGAGAAGUCAUUAAUAGAGCCAGAGAAGGAGCCUUGUGAGGAAGGUGCAUUGACCAUGACUUCGGAAGAAAACAAAGAUGAAGAAAGCUCUCUUGAAACUUUUGUGUCUGCCUUAGAAAGGAUACUCACAUCACCAGAAAUCAGCCAGGAGGAAAGACUGCUUAGAAUAAUGAAUGAUUUUGAACCUAGAGAGCUGGUGAACCCAUUGAGCAACUCUUCAGGCUCCAUAUCAAUACCUUUGACAUGUCACAGAGAUUUUCUAGAAGACCCAAAGGAUGAUGCAUUGCCAGUUGAGGUAUCAACAGCCUUAGACACAUUGUCAGAGGCCAAGGUGGAACCCAUCUGUCACAGGAAAGAGGGAGGCAUCAGGCUCAGUGCUGGAAAUGAAUGUUCGGGAGUGGAGCCCAGUAUGUCUCAGACUGAUGAAGACUGUACACAGAUAGCAGAGGUGGAUUUUGAGACUCUUUAUUCUACUCCACCAUUUGAACAAGAUUCCAAGUUAGCUGAGCUGCAGGACAAGCAUCUUCCAGUGCAGCAAAUAAGUGUAAGUAUGAACCGACAGUUUUACCUUUUAUAG
rnacentral:lncRNA from 1 species